rnacentral:rRNA from 1 species
GAGUUUGAUCCUGGCUCAGAACGAACGCUGGCGGCAUGCCUAGCACAUGCAAGUCGAACGAGACCUUCGGGUCUAGUGGCGCACGGGUGCGUAACGCGUGGGAAUCUGCCCUUAGGUACGGAAUAACAGUGAGAAAUUACUGCUAAUACCGUAUGAUGUCUUCGGACCAAAGAUUUAUCGCCUAGGGAUGAGCCCGCGUUGGAUUAGCUAGUUGGUGGGGUAAAGGCCUACCAAGGCGACGAUCCAUAGCUGGUCUGAGAGGAUGAUCAGCCACACUGGGACUGAGACACGGCCCAGACUCCUACGGGAGGCAGCAGUGGGGAAUAUUGGACAAUGGGCGAAAGCCUGAUCCAGCAAUGCCGCGUGAGUGAAGAA